GUCGAUGAAACAAUUAGGAAAGUAUAUGUAAAUCAAACUAUAAGCCUUAAUGGUGGACCUGAAUAUUUACAACAAGUUUAUCAGGACUUUAGCACAGGUCUGCAGUAUGUUAUCAAAGGUGGCGCAUGUAUUAAGAUGAAUGUAUCGAGCUCUGAGCCAAGUUGUAUCCCAAAAAACGCAGACGUGGUUACAAAAUCAUUCAUUGGAUCCGGAAAGACAGCUCUAAAAGCAACAAUGUACCAUUUUACAAGAGAUAACCUUGAUGUACAUCUCACCAUGGCAGACGAUGGAUGUAUACCAGUAUUAGUCGAAGGCAAUGGCAUUACACAAACAGGCGAAAAUAUGAAAAUGGCGGCAGAGUACAUGGGAAUAGUGGUGGCACCUAUGAAUGUUUCCAUUUUUAAUAUUCCGUCAAUCUGCA